rnacentral:rRNA from 1 species
CCUACGGGUGGCAGCAGUGGGGAAUAUUGCACAAUGGGGGAAACCCUGAUGCAGCGACGCCGCGUGAGCGAAGAAGUAUUUCGGUAUGUACAGCUCUAUCAGCAGAGAAGAAAAUGACGGUCCCUGAGUAAGAAGCUCCGGCUAAAUACGUGCCAGCAGCCGCGGUAAUACGUAUGGAGCAAGCGUUCUCCGGAUUUACUGGGCGUAAAGGGAGCGUAGGCGGCCUGCCAAGUCUGAUGUGAAAGACAGAGGCUCAACCCUGUUGCUGCAUUGGAAACUGGCAGGCUGGAGUGCCGGAGAGGUAGGUGGAAUUCCUAGUGUAGCGGUGAAAUGCGUAGAUAUUAGGAGGAACACCAGUGGCGAAGGCGGCCUGCUGGACGGUGACUGACGCUGAGGCUCGAAAGCGUGGGGAGCAAACAGGAGUAGAUACCCUUGUAGUC